CUAUGGAAUUUUAGGAGAUUAUGAAAUCCCUGGCUAUAGUCACAUAUGCGUAAAUAUUUAUUUUAUCCUUUUUUAAGAUGUUCUGGUCACCUAUCAUUUUGAAAUUUGUCUUUGUGUUUUAUUUCUAGUAAAUUGUGCCAUCAGAUUUGAAAAACGUGUCUCACAAGUCAAGUCACAGAAAGGAUGACAGCAUUUAACCACAUCUCCC